AUCCACAUCCGAUCCAGCUGGCACUCUGUAAACGUAAACCCGCUCUGCAAAUAGAAGAAGUUGGCAUUGUGAAAUUGUAGUUGGGUGCUCUGGCCGGAAUCGAAUCCGAAUCGCUACAAUUGGCUCCAUUGGCGAUCACCUCUCACAAGCAUUCAGAGGCGCAAUGGAAAAUCGAUCGAAAAUAUGUAACUGCAACGUUUCUACUGGCAUUCCGAUUACGAGUGUUACGAGUGUAGUUCUGGAUCGAUCUGGAUGGAUCUCCCAGAUCCGAGAUGUCGGCUGGUGGCAAUUGAUGUGUGGUUAUCGGUACGAUUGGUUACCAUUUGAUUGGAAUUAAAUGCUUACGAAGCGUAAUUACCUGUAAAAUGCUGAUAUCUCGCUUCUUGGGAGUAAAUCGCUAAAACGGUCCUUACUCCCCUUAGAAUAUAACAUACAUGUGUAUACUUUGUAAA